AGAGGGGGCGAGCGUUAUUCGGAAUUAUUGGGCGUAAAGGGCGCGUAGGCGGCUGCGCAAGUCUCGGGUGAAAUCCCUCGGCUCAACCGAGGAACUGCCCUGGAAACUGCGCGGCUCGAGGCCGGGAGAGGAUGGUGGAAUUCCCAGUGUAGCGGUGAAAUGCGUAGAUAUUGGGAGGAACACCGGUGGCGAAGGCGGCCAUCUGGACCGGUCCUGACGCUGAGGCGCGAAAGCGUGGGGAGCAAACAGGAUUAGAUACCCUGGUAGUCCACGCCCUAAACGAUGGGUACUCGGUGUCGCGGGUAUCGACCCCCGCGGUGCCUUAGCUAACGCGUUAAGUACCCCGCCUGGGGAGUACGGUCGCAAGGCUGAA
rnacentral:rRNA from 1 species